UAAUUGAAGAGUUUGAUCAUGGCUCAGAUUGAACGCUGGCGGCAGGCCUAACACAUGCAAGUCGAACGGUAACAGGAAGCAGCUUGCUGCUUUGCUGACGAGUGGCGGACGGGUGAGUAAUGUCUGGGAAACUGCCUGAUGGAGGGGGAUAACUACUGGAAACGGUGGCUAAUACCGCAUAACGUCGCAAGACCAAAGAGGGGGACCUUCGGGCCUCUUGCCAUCAGAUGUGCCCAGAUGGGAUUAGCUUGUUGGUGAGGUAACGGCUCACCAAGGCGACGAUCCCUAGCUGGUCUGAGAGGAUGACCAGCCACACUGGAACUGAGACACGGUCCAGACUCCUACGGGAGGCAGCAGUGGGGAAUAUUGCACAAUGGGCGCAAGCCUGAUGCAGCCAUGCCGCGUGUAUGAAGAAGGCCUUCGGGUUGUAAAGUACUUUCAGCGGGGAGGAAGGUGUUGCGGUUAAUAACCGCAGCAAUUGACGUUACCCGCAGAAGAAGCACCGGCUAACUCCGUGCCAGCAGCCGCGGUAAUACGGAGGGUGCAAGCGUUAAUCGGAAUUACUGGGCGUAAAGCGCACGCAGGCGGUCUGUCAAGUCGGAUGUGAAAUCCCCGGGCUCAACCUGGGAACUGCAUUCGAAACUGGCAGGCUUGAGUCUUGUAGAGGGG
rnacentral:rRNA from 1 species